GAUGAACGCUAGCGGCAGGCUUAAUACAUGCAAGUCGAGGGGCAGCAUGACUGUAGCAAUACAGUUGAUGGCGACCGGCAAACGGGUGCGGAACACGUACAGAACCUUCCUUUAAGUGGUGAAUAGCCCAGAGAAAUUUGGACUAAUACACCGUAACAUAUAGAGUUGGCAUCAAUUUUAUAUUAUAGCUCCGGCGCUUAAAGAUGGCUGUGGGGCUGAGUAGGUAGUGGGCGGGGUAACGGCCCACCAAGCCUACGAUCAGUAACUGGUGUGAGAGCACGACCAGUCACACGGGCACUGAGACACGGGCCCGACUCCUACGGGAGGCAGCAGUAAGGAAUAUUGGUCAAUGGACGCAAGUCUGAACCAGCCAUGCCGCGUGGAGGACGAAGGUCCUCUGGAUUGUAAACUUCUUUUCUCUGGGGCGAAAACCUCCCAUACCUGGGAGCUUGACAGUACCAGAGGAAGAAGCACCGGCUAACUCCGUGCCAGCCGCCGCGGUAACAC
rnacentral:rRNA from 1 species